rnacentral:lncRNA from 1 species
GGCGGAGGGCUGGACUGCCCUGUACCGCUGCUGCUGGUGAGCGAGGCCUGCACCGCUGCUUCCCCCAGCGGGAAGGAGGGUCUGGAAAGGCGUGGUCUAGGGCUGGGGCCCGGGGUGCGGUGCAGCUGGUGGGGGAGUGCGGCGGCUCAGGCCGGGGGUUCGGAAGGCUUCAUUUCUGGAGGAGGGGGCGCGGCUGGAGGCGUGCACUCGGGGCGGGUACAUGGGGUGAGACUCAGCCAGCAUGGAUGCCUGAGGUGAUGGGCGCUGCGCGGACCUUCCUUUCUCGGCUGGGGCGAGUGACCUGGAACUCUAAUUUCUUUUUUGAGGAGGUCCUGACUUCUUGGAAACAGGAUGGGCGUUUACAAGUCAGGUUCGGAAAAGUCACCCCAGGCAGCAGAAAUCCAUCUUGAGAUGAAAUACCUUCUACCUGGCCCUCUGGCAGAAUUUCAAGGCAAACGCUGGGCUGGCUCUGGGGCCAUGACAUUGCCUGAUCUUCUGCCUGGGGAGAGCAGGACCGGGAGGAGAUUUUGCCUUUGGAGAACAGGGAAGAUAUGGAAAGCAUGAAGAAAUUGACUCAGAAUCCUAAGGCCAAAGAUACCAGUUACAUUAAGGAAUGUGGCAGUAGUCUUCAUGGAGGCAAAUGGAAGAGACUGAGCUCUGAGCAGAGGAACCUAUACAAAGAAGUGAUGCUGGAGAAUUACCGGAAUUUGCUCUUGUCGGCAGAACCAAAGCCAGAAAUCUACCCCUGUUCCUGCUGGCAUUCUCUUGUCAGCAAUUCCUCAGCCAGCAUGUGCUUCAGAUCUUCCCUGGCUCAUGUGUGGAAAAUCACUUCCAUCCAGAGGAUUCUGGCCCGGAGCCUCAGGAGCAGCAUUAUUCUGCUCAGAGUUGCUGGAGUGAAUACACGGAAGGGCAAGAGAGGGAAGGUGGCUCCAAAGCCUUGUGUGCGGGGACAGAGGAGAGAAAGACCUCAAGCUCAUUCUCUGGCCCCCCCCAAGGACCGUCCGCAAGUCCUAGAGAAGUCACCACAGUGGUAGAAAUAGAGUCCAGUUCAGCCCAAAGAGUAAACCCUGUGCAACCAGACAAAGAAUUGAAGGAAUCAGAAAUCUUGAGAUCUGGAGCAGCCAACUGUAGAGAGCAUGAACGAGACUGUAGCCCGAAAUCAAACUUCGUUACCGACCAGAUGACCCCCUUCAAGGAGAAACCCUGUUUGCAGGGAGCGUGGGUGAGGCUGUAAAGAUAAGGCAGCCCUCAUCAGAUACCACUGGACACAGUUGGUGGAGAAGCCCUAUGUGUGCAGUGACUGUGGCCAAGGCUUCAGCCUGAUGUCAGUCCUUAUUAACCCCCAGGGGACACACUCAGGGGAGAAGCCAUAUGUGUGCAAGGAGUGUGAGCAAAGCCUUAGUCAGAAGUCCAACCUCAACACAUGAGAAAAACAGAUUCAGAAAAGUCUUAUUUGUGCAAGGAGUGUGGGCGAGGCUUUAGCCAGAAGUCAGACCUUAUCAAACACGAGAGGAUACACUCAGACUAGAAGCCCUAUAUUUGCAGGGAGUGUGGGAGAGGCUCUUGUGAUCUUGAGAUUCUUGUGAGAAGGCGAGUCAGCCUUCUUCACAUGCCACAGGGAGAAUCCUUCUGUGGGAUACUGUGGAACUCUGCCCAGUUAACCUUAUCAGGGCCAGCGCCCACGCCGCUCCAGAUAACUGCUGCUGAUGGCUGCAGAGCUGACUUCCUCACUAGGACUCGUUCUCAGCCACGGGGAACUGCACCUUCCCAAGGGCUGGCUGGCUCCUUGCCAAUGAAUGAGUGAUACGGUUAGACAAAACUCCCCUUGACUCAGUUGGGACAACUCCCAAGGUUCAUCCCAGAUCCAGAGGUGCCUGUUGGACUGAAGGAUCUCUCAUUUGCAAAUACAUUGCAGGUCAGCUUCUUCCUCUGCCCAGCCCUGCCCUCAUUCCCCAAUAAACCACUCAAUUCUUCAUCUCACUGUCUCUCCAGGGAAUCCAACCUAAGACAUCUUAAGUUGACAGGGAGUGUGGACAAGGCUUUGGCUAUAAGUCACCCCUCAACAAACCCCAGAGUACACAGCAUAGAAGCUCUGUGUGUGUGUGUGUGGAGAACGGGCAAGGCCUUAGGAAAAGCACACCUCAGUGUACAUCAGAGAACAGGUUUUUUGGGAGGAAGGGAGGGAGACUGUGAGAUGCGUUAGUCAUGCCUCAUCUUGCACCAGAGGACAUACUCAGGUGAGUAGACCCGUGGGGCAAGGUGUGUGGGUGGAGCUUUAUCCUGAUGGCCCCCUCAACAGAUGAAGAGGACAGAGUCUUGCCACCACAAACCACUACCUCAUGCACCUCUGAGGGGGUUUCAGAAGUCUUGACCACCCCCAUACUCUGUAUGAGUGUGAAAAUGGCACUAAUGACUAAAUAGACAUGCUUUUCACUUUUUGUAAUCAGAUGGAAUAAAAAAGUAGAAAGCUUUAUUUAAGUAAUCUAAGAGUGAUCAACUUGUUUUAUUUUCAUACACCAGUUCUUUCCCAUGUUUUCUUGUCCUUUGUUCUAGUAAAAUCUUUACUGAGCUAAGGCUUUGUAUCUUAGUCUCUCAUUUGUCUGGAAAGGAAUUCACAUUCACAACCCAGAUUUCCUCCAUUAAUUCAACUUUUAAGAAAAAAUAAGUCUCAAAUCAAUCUAACAGGUUUGCUGGGCAUCGGAGCCUUUGCAUGAGGAGGAUGAUUUAAGUUCUGGAGACAGGCCAGCUGAAGGGAGGGAACUUCCCAGGUCUCCAGGGGCUGGGUUGCCUCUUCUCCUACCUGAUCCCUCCCUUUGACUUCUGUGCAAGCUCCCUUCCCUGGGUUUUCUCCUUCAUUCUUAUCUCUUUCAGAUCUCUGCUGAAUCCUCGACCCCAUCAAGCAUUGCUGUUCCUCAGUGGUCUGUUCACGUCCUCCAGCUCCAGGGACCCUUUAAGCAUGCUCCCUCUGCAGCCUUCCAGAUUCCAGGCCGUGAAGUCAGCUUUCCAGUGGGUCCUGAGUCAGCUCUGGCGAGGGCAGGUGUGAGCCCCAAGUGUGGGCCCCGCCCUUGCUCCCGUCUCCCCUCGUGCUCCUUCGCCAGAGCUACCCCUGUGACACCAACGCUUUGCUUCUGGUCUGAACUGGAAGCCAGAGAGGGACAGGUGUAUGUGGGUAGGCCCUCUACAUUCCGGAUGACCCCAAGGCCUUGCCCAUGCCUGCCAUUGGGAGAGAAAAUGCAAACAAGAAAACCAGCACCUUCCUUUGGAAAAACGGAUUUUCUGCUGAAUAUAUUGGCACGGAAAUUAUCUGGCGGUUGAAGAUCUGGAAGAGACAGUGCAGGGAAUCUGAGAAAACGUAAGAGAAAGAGAUGGUGUGAUGGCCAGCACUGAGACUGGGAUAAAUUUGGGAAGCAGGAAGUGUUGCAAUUGCCCGGGCAAAAUUUACAGCACAACUAUGGCAAGAGUGUGGACUGAAAGAGAAGAUGGACUCUGUAGGGUUUGUCUUCAAAGCACUUGGUGGUUGCCUGGAUGCAGAAGAUAAGGGAGAAUUUAAAAGGACUCCCACAAACACAGCUUUCUAACAGUAGAAACAUUUGCAAAGGAGAAAAAGUUCUCAUCACUCCAAGAAUCCAAGUGGAAAGCCAACAUCAUCCUAUCUGUGUUUACCAUAAGAAUAUUUCCUUCUCUAGAGGUAGGUUGAGCUGGCUAUCCUCUUUCCGCAUCUGAGUCUUGCAUGUGCUGACCCGUGUGGUAGAAUAUAUUUGUGUGUAUGUGGGAUGGUGCCACUUAUCAGCAUAUUGUCUCAGCUCCAAAUUCACCUUUUGUUGCCUAUUUGUGAAAAUGGACCUGGGCCCUUUAAAUAUUUGCCCGGUGGUGUGAGAUUCAUCAGUAGCGAGCUCUGGAGCCACGUGACAGGAGGAAGGGGUCCUCUUUCCUGGUUCAGGUGGCUCUUUCACUAGGCUCCUCAGCCAGCGCAGUUUUCUCCCAUGCUAAAUGCCUGCAGGACACAGCUUUCUCCACUGAUUGGCACCCUAUAUUUUCUCCAGCUGUCCACCCGGGCACUGGUGGCUUAGUCGGGAGCGCAAACAGUACAAGCCUGUGCCCCAGCCCAGCUCACUGCUCCUGCACCCUCUCUUCAGCCCCACGGGCAUACACCCUGGGGCCCCACUGGACUGGCUCUCUGGCAAGCAGAUCACCUGGCCUUCAUCCCCGGCAGAGGCUCAGAGCCUCCCAGCCUGGUUGCUUUCUCCUUGGCUCUCUGUGCAUGCACACCAGGGCCCCAGCAGCCACUCUGAGCUGCCCCAGUCCAGGCCGUGCACAGAAGUACACUAGGUUCUUGCAGCUUCUCAGCCUCCUUUCCAGCAGCGCCUCCAGCAGUGCCUUGACCUCCUCUGCUCACUUGCCCUUCAGUCUCAGCUCGCUUGUCCCCCCAGAGGUUUAUUUGCUGCGGCCCUCCAGACACAGGCACUGUGUGGUCCAGGCUUUGUGUCAGCAUCAACACCCUGGCCCUCUGUGCCCAUCCAGCUCCCUCUGUGCACCUGGCUACCAGCUUUGGUUGCCUGCACUCCAGAGGGUUAUUCCUGCUUGCUGGUGAUGGUAGACCUGCUCUGGCCCGUGCAAAUCCCCCUUACCCUGACUUUUCCACCAUCCAGUGGGCUGUAGCAACUUCUCCAGUGAGGGCUGAACCCCAGCCUUGGGGAGGGAACCUUCCAGCUUUAUACUUCCUUAGCACUCUCCCUCAGCUGAGGGUUUCAUUCGAUAUUUACAGUUGCUCCCCUAUCAUUGCAUAAUAAUUCUUUAUGUUAAAUUUCCCAUUUAAAUUACUGUCUGGUUUCUGUCUCCUCAUUGGACCCAGAUUGACAGAGAUGUGAAUGUGCAUGUGUGCAGUUUUUAUUUGAAGGCAAAGAGGUGAAUUUUUGACUGCAUCUAUUCAGUGAACACAGCAAUAAGCCAAAAGAAACAAUGCAAGUCAAAGUUAUUAUCAGCACCAGCUGGGGCUAUGGCCCUGAACCCAGACCCAGAAAUAUGAUGGUCUACAUCUGGGAAUGGCAAACUACAGAUCUGUCCUGCCACCUCUUUUUGUAUGGCCUGUGAACUAAGUAUAGUUUUUACAUUUUAAAUGGUUGAAAAGAAUGAAAAGAAUAAUAUUUUGUGAUACAUUUGUGUUCAUAAAUAAAGUUAUAUUUGUAACACAGCCA